CGUACGCACGCACUUGCCACAAGGAGACGCUGUUCAGUUUACCGGAUCCUGUCCCGCGCCAGCCAACCAGGACAAGGCCGGGGAGCUCGAGACAGGCAGCCUAGACCAAGAACCGGAAGGAGGAAAAGGAACCGGAGGGAGGAAGAGGAGGGGCGGGACGAGACCACCAGGCAAGAGUCCAAACUUUCCCGCGGCGACCUAACUGCACCUCCAGUGUCUUCCCCCAGAGGGCACAGAAGCAGCAAGAAGGGCGGGAACACUUGACUGGGGUCCAUGCAGCUCUAGGCUGAGUCUUGCAGGGCUGAGCCCCCCAGGCCUGCUCUCCUGUGUCCUGGCCGCUCCGUCAGUGCCUGCCAGUGGGGUCCAGAGGGACCGUUUUUUUAACGCCUCUUUUGCAGUCUCCCGCAUUGACUUCAUAACCAAGUUCUGGGUCCCUGCCUCUGGAGUGCCUGAUGAGACAAAACGGCUCCUCGUCCUGCAUCCCCGCUGCUACUUCCAGAAUUCAGGCCUCGUGGUCUGGAGCCUGCACUGUUCCAUGAGCCUCCUGAGCAACCUGGAGUCCUCUGUCUUUCUUCCCUCAGUGAGAUGCGCCUACUUCUCCCUGGAGAAGCUUGAGGAAGCAGAAAUGCUGGAGAUGAGAGACCUCGUCCGCACAGGGGCUUGUUCUUCUGUGUCUUUGCAGGGCUGUUUUGGACUCAGUAUUCACCUAAGCACUCCAAAUUACCCAGCACACCCUGCCUGCAUGGCGCUGCGCUGCACCUUCACUCUGGUCACGGGUCUGGCAGUCAGCUCACCAAUUCCUCCUGCUUCCCUGGGACUUGCCGGCUUUUAGCACUGCAAUUCACUCAGCAAACUGGGACUGUUGGUCACCCUACCUGGCAGCCAGUGAUAAGGUGAGGGCCACUCCUGGGAGGGAGGACACCUGUGGGGAAAAUUCUUGUGUUAUUUAUUUCUCCUUCGGGAUAGGGUGCCUGCAGCGCUUCAUGGGAGGGGGUGGGCUGAUGCUGCGGGCUCAGAAGUUUCAAGGGCAUCUGGGGAGACCAGAUAUUCAGAGACCUUCUAGAUGUGCCUGUUCCAUGUAUCAGGGACGCAGGUUUUCCCAACAGGGCUGGUGUCAUUGGCAUGACAGACCUGCCUUGGCUGAGCGUUCACCUGUCUUUGGAGUUCAGCCACCUUAGCAAGUCCUGGGUUUGUUCUUCAGACUUUGCUGCUCGCCCAUUGCCUGGAUCGGGGGCUACUUUGUAAACCACCAGGAAGACUCCAGUGUUUCUGGUUAAUUUUUAGAUGUUUGUUAAUUGCUCUUGGUCUCUCAUUAAUCCCCUGUGGGUCAUCCAGGAAACAUACUCACCACUGUCUGUUCUCUGAGUUUUCAUUUCCAGGCAUCCGCCCUGCCUGGAUCUCCUCACCUGCCAGGAACUUCCUCUCCACAAGCCGGCCAUCCCAGCAAAAGUUCUAACACCAAAGGUCUGGCAACUAGCCUGCCAUCUUGUGCCUGGAGCCGCCUGCGUGCCACCUACUCCCGAAGAUGGGAACCUUGUUGCCAGUUGGGCAGAUGCGGGGCAAUCCUGUACCAAGACCCCAUUUUACCACCUGCUUUCUCAGACCACUCUGGAACCCACUGUCUCAGAUUGUGUCCUCCAGGAAGCAGACCAUGAGAGGGAGUUGGCAGGGCCAAAGAUUUACUGGGGCUAACUAACACUCAGGAAAGGGAUAGGAAGGAAACAGGGCUGGAGAGCAGGUUGAGCCCGACCUGACAGUCUCGAGCAGCCCAACAGGGAGGUGUGGAGCAAGGGUUGCCCACUAGAGGGGCCUGCAUUGGGUACGGGUGAUGGGGUCCACAUGGUACCUGGCAUAUAGCAGGCUGUGCAAUCCAUAUUAACUGACUGGAUAAAUUAAUGCCCAGAAAAGGUGCCCUGGAGAAUGGGUGUGUGCUGAACACAAUAGGGAAGGGCCCAGCAUCUGCCUUGGCAUAGGCAGAACUGUGCUGUGCCCUGCAACAGGCCACCUGAGAGCUGCUUUGAUCUUGUGUGUACAUUAGAUGACUGCCAGGGGCAUGAAGGGGAUGUGCUUCCAGGGCAUUUGCUGGCAGGGCGUCUCGUGAUCUCUUGGUAUUGGUGUGAGCACAGCCUGGCAGGAGAGGGCAGAUCUCCAUGCAAAGUAUGUCAGAAAGCAGAUGGAAGCCAGGCCCCCUCCUGAAAGAGGCUCCUUGAAGAGACAGAGAAGAGUCCAUGAGAAUCAACAUUUUCUGAGGACUCCAACUGUGUGCCAAGAGAGUUCCCCUGCUGGUGCCUCCUCUGUAGUAAAGGAAAGGCUCCUGGGACCACAUUAUCAUUCUCUUCACUCGAGAGAUGAGGACACUGAAAUUCAGAGAGGGGAAGUGAUUUGCCUCAGCUUGUACUAAAGAAACAUUUCAACAGAGAACCCAGUGGAAAUUAUGACAUGUUAUCUUCUCAGAGUCCUGAACUCCCAUCCCUACCUCAGAAGAGACUCCUCUGUUCACAGAAGCUAAAGGCAGUUCCUUCCCAAUGGCAACUAUGUUUGGAUGUUGGAUCUACACUUUCUCAAGCACUGUGAUCUUCAAAUCAAAGGAGAUUUCUCCCAUUAUAUACUUCUUAUGAUCAACAAAUUCCAUCAUCUCCCCACUAAGAGAAAGUACUCCAAGAUGAUAGAAUGAUUUUAAAGUUAUGGGACUACAACAGCAGCCACAGGAACCUUGAGUAAGUACCAUGAACCCUGACCCUCAGCGUUAAUUUGUAAGCCUUUGGCAGUGAGAUGGAAUGUCUUCCUUCAGUUUGAAACAAAGGAAACCUAUUGCAUCGCACGUAAAUUUGUAUAUUGAUGCUAUAUUGACUUUGUAGCUGCCAUGCCUUCAUACAGACACCUCAUCCAGCCCCCACUGUUCCACUUAUUGUGAUGGUUUGUAUAUCUUUAUUUCAAAGAAGAUCUGUUUGAACCGUGUUUAAUUUCUUCUUUGACCUGCUUUCAUCACUGCCCAUGCCUACCCUGGUGGCAUUCUCAUCCACGAGACUACCACAUCCAUGCCACUAGGUGGCAUUCUCAUCCAUGAGACUACUGCACCCGUGCGCACGUCAAGAAGUAGCCAAGCCAUGGGCUGGAUUGUGCUUUUCCUGAGAGGAUGAAAGGCUUCAUGGAUACAUGCUAGUAUCCAUGUUCCUCUAUUCUCAAGUCAGGCACCAAGAUGAUGUUUCAUACCUGCCUGCCUUUCAAAGUCUCAUAAAUGUUCAUUGAAUAUCCACUCUAUGCAAGGCACUAGGGUAGUCACAGAGGCAAGGUUUGAGCUAAACUACAGGCCCUGCCCUCCAGGAGCUCCCGGUCUCAUGGCAGGGUGCAGAAGCCAGAAUAGAGGGCCAUGGCAUGGGAGAGAACUCUGCUGACCGGGAGCUCUGAAGGGUUAGGGGUCCAUGAGCCUGAUUUAUGGGGUCGUUGCCAUAGGAUUAGGGGCUCCCUGGCAUACAGUGAAUGGAGAGACUAGCAUUGCUGUGUUAUUUCACUGAGAGGGCACCAAUGUUCAGCCUCUGAGACCAGGGGAGGAAAGCAGUGGCCAUGAAUGUUCCCUCCCAUCCCGGGGACUGACUGGGCUCCUCCCACAGUCUCAGACACAGAGGAAGAAGUGUACUCACACUGCCCCAACACCAGUGAGUGGAAAUAUUUAUAGGUCUCUCAUUUGGUUUUAAUUUUUAUUUUUUUAUUUUUCAGAAAUUAAAAAAAAAAUCACACUCACAAAAUUAACCAUUACCCACAUUCCUACCAACAAGAAGUAACCAUUCUUAACCUUGUAAUAUGUUGGUUUCCAGAUUUAUGUUUAUGCUUUAAAAAAUUAUGCAGACAACAUAUUAGCACAUUGCCCCUUUUCUCAUUUGUUUUAAUCCAUGUUCUUCCCAUUUAUACAGGAGCAAUUCUUGCAUUCAGUUAUGGGAUACUAUAAAUGCCUAGUAUAAUGGCAGCAGAGAGAAUUACUAUGGUUGUAUACCUUUUCUCGCUCCUUGCUCCUCAAAUGCCUUAGAGUUUAAAAUCUAUUGUGGAAAGUUUGUGAAAUGCAGAACGGUGAAAAUAAACAAAUUACCAGUGGUUCUUUGGCUUCGGGAGAACUGUAAUUGAUGUUCAUUUUGGUAUAUUUCCCUCCAGUAUUUUUUCCAUAUGGUUUUAUUUUUAAAAAUUUUACCCCAUAUAUAUAUACAUAUAUAUAUACAUACUAACUACUCACAAAAUUAAAAAUUAAAAAAAUUAAAAAUGUAUAAAAUGAAAGAAAAAAAUUAGCCUCAUUUUGUAUUUACUAUUUUAUAAUCUGCCUUUUUGCUUAAUCUUCUUUGUCAUUAUAUGUUCUUCUACCUCAUGAUUUUUAAUAGCUGCCUAGUAUUCCAUUGUAUAGCCAUAGUUAUUUCAUACUUUAUAAUUG
rnacentral:lncRNA from 1 species